CCAAUAUUAUAACAUCAGCUGGUGUAGAGGAUGAAUGGAAGAAGUUAUCUGACUUUCAUGCUAGACUAAUAUUUAUGCCAACCCAGUAGAUUUUGCAUAUUUGUGAACUUUCUUCAAACUUGGAUGCUUAUCGUUAGCAAUGUUGUAAAAAUAAUGCAUCGAAUUUGGAUGCAUUAUAUUUGCCCUUGCUACUGAAUCUUAGGCCAUUGAAUGCUUGUUUUUUGUUCUAAAAUAUCUAUGGACUCUAUUCUUAUCUUAAAUAUCUGGCUUCUGAAGAAUAAAAUAAAAAAAUAUGCUCAAGUAUAAACUGUUGUCAUGCUUGGUUUUGUGUGCCAUCUGACUCUUUAUUCGAGCACUCUUCUAUAAUGCAGACAAGUUCUAGUCUAACGAAAUACUAAAAGUAUAAUUCUUUAAUUUAAGGAGAGUUUAUACAAAAGUGCAUUUCACAUUUCAGUAUUUUAGCAGUUUAAAGGUUUAUGGCAUCAUGUUGUAUGCUAUAGAAUGGAUAAGAAAAAAAAUCACCAGAUAAGCUUAAAAAUGUGCUUUGCCAAGCGCAGCUGGAUACGACUGCAGAGGUCCAACCCUGAACAGUUGGGGCAAAAAUGGACACAAUAUUCAAGCUUGAAUUGGAUUGUAAUUAAAUAUUUGACACAUUAUAGGUUUCUGACACAGAAUAAUGUAGUCAAAGAACUUGAAAUUGGUUAUAUGAUUUGGAUUAUAUUCAAUUGAAGAUUUCUUGCUUUUGUGCAAUACACUGUGCUGUUGCACAAUACUUAGUAAAUCUGUUUUCAGACUAUAUACAGAGAAUUAGCAAAAUAAAUUGUGACCCCCCAAUU